GGAGCAUUACCCAAGUCUGGCUAAGGGGAACAGUUUUGAAAAUCGUCAGGCGUGUAAUAGCGUGCGUAGGUUUGAAUCCCACAUCCUCCU
rnacentral:tRNA from 1 species